UCUGAGCUUCCUGUUUUGGGUAUAUAAAGCUGGGUGAAGUAAUUUCUACACCAGAGGACCCACUGCUCACUGAUUAAUUUUCAUCUGAGGCCUGUACGAGGCACAACCCAGAGUCAAAAUGGAAAAGGAUGACGGAAAAGGAAGAAGAAACAGUGAAGGAAACUCGAGUAGUCUGAAGUCUAAGAUGUACACUGUGGGCCUGUCCAUGGGGGUGAUCACUAUGGCGGCCGCAGGAGUGAAUCCGCUGCUUGUUCCCGUUGCGCUGGCAGCAAUGGGAGCCGGAUAUGCCACCAAAGAAGUAAUGAAAAAACUGUGAAGAACUGCUCAACUGUUUCAGCACAAUAUAACCUUUUCUAAUAAGAAUAAACACCAUUCACGAAGCAACAGCACAGCAUGAAUCCUAAAGUCUGAUGAAGAGGAUUGCUAAUAAUAAUCAUAAUAAUAAUGGACAUUUGUCAUGUUUUGGGUGUGGGUGUUUUGUUUCAUUUGUUUGAUAAUUUCAGACUCACUGUGUGUUUAGCAAGUGACCACAUAAGCUUUAUUUCCUGAUAAAGAAUAAUUUACCUCAAUAUAAUGUGAUGUAGAACGUAAUAGGACUGUGACACAAUUCACUCAGUGUGAGACAUAAGAUUGGGUUCACAAGGACGAGAAAGAAGAGAUGUUUUCAUAAUUAUAAUAAAAAUAUUGUGUGCAAUCUA